UACGUAGGGUGCAAGCGUUAAUCGGAAUUACUGGGCGUAAAGCGUGCGCAGGCGGUUUUGUAAGUUUGUCGUGAAAGCCCCGGGCUCAACCUGGGAAUUGCGAUGAAGACUGCAAGGCUUGAAUCUGGCAGAGGGGGGUGGAAUUCCGCGGUGUAGCAGGUGAAAUGCGUAGAGAUGACGGAGGAACACCGAUGGCGAAGGCAGCCCCUGGGCUAACCACGUGACGCUCAGGCACGAAAGCGUGGGGAGC
rnacentral:rRNA from 1 species